rnacentral:rRNA from 1 species
ACGGAGGGUGCAAGCGUUAUUCGGAAUUACUGGGCGUAAAGCGCGUGUAGGCGGCCCUGUAAGUCUGAUGUGAAAGACCCGGGCUUAACCAGGGAAGUGCAUUGGAAACUGCAGGUCUUGAGUACUGGAGAGGAAGGGGGAAUUCCCGGUGUAGAGGUGAAAUUCGUAGAGAUCGGGAGGAAUAUCAGUUGCGAAGGCGCCCAUCUGGACGGUAACUGACGCUGAGACGCGAAAGCGUGGGGAGCAAACAG